UAGCGACAUCUAGUAGAUUUUUAAUGAAUCAUUCAAAUUUGUCGAUAGAUCGCGCUUCGAUCGUCGAAAAUUAAAGGAAAGGAUAAAUUAAAAUAAUGUUGGUUUCUUUAUCUAAUGGUUUUUCUAAUUUACGUCUAAUGGAAUUCGAAUAAUUAUUACUCGUUUUAAGACUCGAUCAAAGAAUACAAUGGAAUUGGUUUGUUAUAUGAUCGCAAUACUUUUGAAAGUAGUCGCACAAUUAUUAAUUUGUGGAAAGUUAGAAUUUAUCAGUUUCAAUUUCGCAGCCAAAA
rnacentral:lncRNA from 1 species